UACGGGGGGGGCAAGCGUUGUUCGGAAUUACUGGGCGUAAAGGGCUCGUAGGCGGCCAACUAAGUCGGAUGUGAAAUCCCCAGGCUUAACCUGGGAACUGCAUCCGAUACUGGAUGGCUUGAAUCCGGGAGAGGGAUGCAGAAUUCCAGGUGUAGCGGUGAAAUGCGUAGAUAUCUGGAGGAAUACCGGUGGCGAAGGCGGCAUCCUGGACCGGCAUUGACGCUGACUGAGCGAAAGCUAGGGGAGCAAACGGGGAU
rnacentral:rRNA from 1 species